rnacentral:tRNA from 1 species
CUUAUUGGCAGAUUAUUGCAUUAAAAUUAGAAUUUAAUAAUACUUA